UUAAGCGACUAAGCGUACACGGUGGAUGCCCUGGCAGUCAGAGGCGAUGAAGGACGUGCUAAUCUGCGAUAAGCGUCGGUGAGGUGAUAUGAACCGUUAUAACCGGCGAUUUCCGAAUGGGGAAACCCAGUGUGUUUCGACACACUAUCAUUAACUGAAUCCAUAGGUUAAUGAGGCGAACCGGGGGAACUGAAACAUCUAAGUACCCCGAGGAAAAGAAAUCAACCGAGAUUCCCCCAGUAGCGGCGAGCGAACGGGGAGGAGCCCAGAGCCUGAAUCAGUGUGUGUGUUAGUGGAAGCGUCUGGAAAGGCGCGCGAUACAGGGUGACAGCCCCGUACACAAAAAUGCACAUAUUGUGAGCUCGAUGAGUAGGGCGGGACACGUGGUAUCCUGUCUGAAUAUGGGGGGACCAUCCUCCAAGGCUAAAUACUCCUGACUGACCGAUAGUGAACCAGUACCGUGAGGGAAAGGCGAAAAGAACCCCGGCGAGGGGAGUGAAAAAGAACCUGAAACCGUGUACGUACAAGCAGUGGGAGCCUCUUAAUGGGGUGACUGCGUACCUUUUGUAUAAUGGGUCAGCGACUUAUAUUCUGUAGCAAGGUUAACCGAAUAGGGGAGCCGGAGGGAAACCGAGUCUUAACUGGGCGUUAAGUUGCAGGGUAUAGACCCGAAACCCGGUGAUCUAGCCAUGGGCAGGUUGAAGGUUGGGUAACACUAACUGGAGGACCGAACCGACUAAUGUUGAAAAAUUAGCGGAUGACUUGUGGCUGGGGGUGAAAGGCCAAUCAAACCGGGAGAUAGCUGGUUCUCCCCGAAAGCUAUUUAGGUAGCGCCUCGUGAAUUCAUCUCCGGGGGUAGAGCACUGUUUCGGCAAGGGGGUCAUCCCGACUUACCAACCCGAUGCAAACUGCGAAUACCGGAGAAUGUUAUCACGGGAGACACACGGCGGGUGCUAACGUCCGUCGUGAAGAGGGAAACAACCCAGACCGCCAGCUAAGGUCCCAAAGUCAUGGUUAAGUGGGAAACGAUGUGGGAAGGCCCAGACAGCCAGGAUGUUGGCUUAGAAGCAGCCAUCAUUUAAAGAAAGCGUAAUAGCUCACUGGUCGAGUCGGCCUGCGCGGAAGAUGUAACGGGGCUAAACCAUGCACCGAAGCUGCGGCAGCGACGCUUAUGCGUUGUUGGGUAGGGGAGCGUUCUGUAAGCCUGCGAAGGUGUGCUGUGAGGCAUGCUGGAGGUAUCAGAAGUGCGAAUGCUGACAUAAGUAACGAUAAAGCGGGUGAAAAGCCCGCUCGCCGGAAGACCAAGGGUUCCUGUCCAACGUUAAUCGGGGCAGGGUGAGUCGACCCCUAAGGCGAGGCCGAAAGGCGUAGUCGAUGGGAAACAGGUUAAUAUUCCUGUACUUGGUGUUACUGCGAAGGGGGGACGGAGAAGGCUAUGUUGGCCGGGCGACGGUUGUCCCGGUUUAAGCGUGUAGGCUGGUUUUCCAGGCAAAUCCGGAAAAUCAAGGCUGAGGCGUGAUGACGAGGCACUACGGUGCUGAAGCAACAAAUGCCCUGCUUCCAGGAAAAGCCUCUAAGCAUCAGGUAACAUCAAAUCGUACCCCAAACCGACACAGGUGGUCAGGUAGAGAAUACCAAGGCGCUUGAGAGAACUCGGGUGAAGGAACUAGGCAAAAUGGUGCCGUAACUUCGGGAGAAGGCACGCUGAUAUGUAGGUGAAGCGACUUGCUCGUGGAGCUGAAAUCAGUCGAAGAUACCAGCUGGCUGCAACUGUUUAUUAAAAACACAGCACUGUGCAAACACGAAAGUGGACGUAUACGGUGUGACGCCUGCCCGGUGCCGGAAGGUUAAUUGAUGGGGUUAGCGGUAACGCGAAGCUCUUGAUCGAAGCCCCGGUAAACGGCGGCCGUAACUAUAACGGUCCUAAGGUAGCGAAAUUCCUUGUCGGGUAAGUUCCGACCUGCACGAAUGGCGUAAUGAUGGCCAGGCUGUCUCCACCCGAGACUCAGUGAAAUUGAACUCGCUGUGAAGAUGCAGUGUACCCGCGGCAAGACGGAAAGACCCCGUGAACCUUUACUAUAGCUUGACACUGAACAUUGAGCCUUGAUGUGUAGGAUAGGUGGGAGGCUUUGAAGUGUGGACGCCAGUCUGCAUGGAGCCGACCUUGAAAUACCACCCUUUAAUGUUUGAUGUUCUAACGUUGGCCCGUAAUCCGGGUUGCGGACAGUGUCUGGUGGGUAGUUUGACUGGGGCGGUCUCCUCCUAAAGAGUAACGGAGGAGCACGAAGGUUGGCUAAUCCUGGUCGGACAUCAGGAGGUUAGUGCAAUGGCAUAAGCCAGCUUGACUGCGAGCGUGACGGCGCGAGCAGGUGCGAAAGCAGGUCAUAGUGAUCCGGUGGUUCUGAAUGGAAGGGCCAUCGCUCAACGGAUAAAAGGUACUCCGGGGAUAACAGGCUGAUACCGCCCAAGAGUUCAUAUCGACGGCGGUGUUUGGCACCUCGAUGUCGGCUCAUCACAUCCUGGGGCUGAAGUAGGUCCCAAGGGUAUGGCUGUUCGCCAUUUAAAGUGGUACGCGAGCUGGGUUUAGAACGUCGUGAGACAGUUCGGUCCCUAUCUGCCGUGGGCGCUGGAGAACUGAGGGGGGCUGCUCCUAGUACGAGAGGACCGGAGUGGACGCAUCACUGGUGUUCGGGUUGUCAUGCCAAUGGCACUGCCCGGUAGCUAAAUGCGGAAGAGAUAAGUGCUGAAAGCAUCUAAGCACGAAACUUGCCCCGAGAUGAGUUCUCCCUGA
rnacentral:rRNA from 1 species